CAAGUCGAGCGGCAGCACAGGCGUAGCAAUACGCUGGGUGGCGAGCGGCGGACGGGUGAGGAGCACAUCGGAAUCUACCCUGUCGUGGGGGACAACGUAGGGAAACUUACGCUAAUACCGCAUACGACCUUCGGGUGAAAGCGGGGGACUCGCAAGAGCCCCGCGCGAUUGGAUGAGCCGAUGUCCGAUUAGCUAGUUGGCGGGGUAAAGGCCCACCAAGGCGACGAUCGGUAGCUGGUCUGAGAGGACGACCAGCCACACUGGAACUGAGACACGGUCCAGACUCCUACGGGAGGCAGCAGUGGGGAAUAUUGGACAAUGGGGGCAACCCUGAUCCAGCCAUGCCGCGUGGGUGAAGAAGGCCUUCGGGUUGUAAAGCCCUUUUGUACGGGAAGAAAAGCCAGCGGGUAAUAUCCGGUGGUCAUGACGGUACCGUAAGAAUAAGCACCGGCUAACUUCGUGCCAGCAGCCGCGGUAAUACGAAGGGUGCAAGCGUUACUCGGAAUUACUGGGCGUAAAGCGUGCGUAGGUGGUGAGUUAAGUCUGAUGUGAAAUCCCCGGGCUCAACCUGGGAAUGGCAUUGGAUACUGGCUCGCUAGAGUGCGGUAGAGGGUGGUGGAAUUCCCGGUGUAGCAGUGAAAUGCGUAGAGAUCGGGAGGAACAUCUGUGGCGAAGGCGGCCACCUGGACCAGCACUGACACUGAGGCACGAAAGCGUGGGGAGCAAACAGGAUUAGAUACCCUGGUAGUCCACGCCCUAAACGAUGCGAACUGGACGUUGGUGGGAACUUGCCCAUCAGUAUCGAAGCUAACGCGUUAAGUUCGCCGCCUGGGGAGUACGGUCGCAAGACUGAAACUCAAAGGAAUUGACGGGGGCCC
rnacentral:rRNA from 1 species